rnacentral:lncRNA from 1 species
AUAAAUUUACACAGCGGAAGUAGAAGACAAGAGGCCUCUGACUCAGGUCUCAAACUCCUAUGAAUCUUUAGCCUGCUGAGGUAUGUUCUUGCUCCAAGAGUUUUAGACUAAGUUUCCUCACCUGUCUAGACUGGUGUUCUGUGUCUACUUACUUGAGUCUUCACUGAUUCCUUGGAUCUGUUUUUUUUUUUUUUUUCCUCUGCACCUAUGAUGCCUGCCUGAUUCUACCAAUCUGGGCUAAACUUUGAAACUGACUCAGUGGCCUAUUCAGCCUAAGGCAUCUGCCAAGCUGCCCAGAUUUAGGUCCUGACCUCUCCUGGCCUGACUGACAUGCCACAAUAAAAAUCAUUAGAAGAAGAGCAUUGAUUUAAAGUGGAUAUAUUAGUCUGUGAUGUGAAGUGAGUCAAAAGAAAAGCUCAACUCACCAUACUUGAGUGACAAUCACCACCUUUAGCAAAUUCUCUGCUCCACAAGGCAUUUUUCUUUCUCCUACUCACUCAUUUGCCAUUUCCUGUCAUUCAUUCACAUGAUACUGAAUUGAAUACUACUUUGUGUCUGGCCUCAUCCUCACAGUGGGGGCGUUGAGGAGUGAAGGCAGCUUUCCACCUUUGAGGACAUUUGGGUCCAACAGAGUUCACAGCCCGCAUUCCCUCAUCUUGGAGUGACAUUGCACGUUUUGACAUAAACAUUAAAGCAACAAUAGCAAACUGAAAAAUUUCAUCUCAGUAGAUAGGACAGAGAGUAUCUUCAAAUAGUAUUUAUUGAACAGAUAAAUAUUGGUCAAGCUGUGUACCCAAAAUUUGGGGUGAUGGGUAAAAGUCCUGUAGGAGGAGGUUCUGUAGAAGUGAUUGCUGAGCCUUCUUCCUGCCCCCGCUCCUGUGUGGGGAGCCCCAAGUAGGAAUGAUGAGCAGGAGUCUGCCCAGUUCUGCCACAUGUGUGGGAUCUUGCUGCAGGGACUGCUGUAAACUGUGAAUUGUUUCCGUAGUUUCUACUAAAGUAGCAACAAAAAACACUGCCCAAGGGUUUGAGGGAGGAAUGAAAGUCUCUUUCUUGGGUGGAGUC